CUUUACUUUGAAGAUCUGUAGCUAGACGUUAGAACUGUUGACAUGCAAAUAAUUAACUAACUGCAUGUCGUACUUGAAUUACAGGUUUUUUGGUUUCGUCACUCCUUUGUUAUAUGGAAGAAGACUUCAUGGUAGAAGAUAGCGACAGAGUGCUGCCGGAUAAUGAGAUGUUGAAGCGGCAGAUUGAAUCCAUGACACCGAAGUGCAAUUGCGGCAGAUUAUCUCUAUCUUUUCUUUUCAUUUUUCUUAUUAUUGAGUGAGAACAGAAUGAGGAACUGUGUGAUAGUACAUACAACAACUGUAGUAAAAAGAAACUUAUGUUUGCAAUUGUUAAUGACAUAGAUACUUGCAUGUUCU